UACGAAGGGGGCUAGCGUUGCUCGGAAUUACUGGGCGUAAAGGGCGCGUAGGCGGACAGUUUAGUCAGAGGUGAAAGCCCGGGGCUCAACUCCGGAAUUGCCUUUGAAACGGGAUCGCUUGAGUCCGAGAGAGGAUGGCGGAAUUCCUAGUGUAGAGGUGAAAUUCGUAGAUAUUAGGAAGAACACCGGUGGCGAAGGCGGCCAUCUGGCUCGGUACUGACGCUCAGGCGCGAAAGCGUGGGGAGCAAACAGG
rnacentral:rRNA from 1 species